rnacentral:rRNA from 1 species
CGCGGCCUAUCAGCUUGUUGGUCGGGUAAUGGCCUACCAAGGCUUCGACGGGUAGCCGGCCUGAGAGGGUGACCGGCCACACUGGGACUGAGACACGGCCCAGACUCCUACGGGAGGCAGCAGUGGGGAAUAUUGGACAAUGGGCGGAAGCCUGAUCCAGCAACGCCGCGUGAGGGAUGACGGCCUUCGGGUUGUAAACCUCUUUCAGCACAGACGAAGCGCAAGUGACGGUAUGUGCAGAAGAAGGACCGGCCAACUACGUGCCAGCUGCCGCGGUAAUACGUAGGGUCCGAGCGUUGUCCGGAAUUAUUGGGCGUAAAGGGCUCGUAGGCGGUUUGUCGCGUCGGGAGUGAAAACACCGGGCUUAACUCGGUGCUUGCUUUCGAUACGGGCAGACUAGAGGUAUUCAGGGGAGAACGGAAUUCCUGGUGUAGCGGUGAAAUGCGCAGAUAUCAGGAGGAACACCGGUGGCGAAGGCGGUUCUCUGGGAAUAUCCUGACGCUGAGGAGCGAAAGUGUGGGGAGCGAACAGGAUUAGAUACCCUGGUAGUCCACACCGUAAACGUUGGGCGCUAGGUGUGGGGUCCAUUCCACGGAUUCCGUGCCGCAGCUAACGCAUUAAGCGCCCCGCCUGGGGAGUACGG